CCUACGGGUGGCUGCAGUGGGGAAUAUUGGACAAUGGGCGAAAGCCUGAUCCAGCCAUGCCGCGUGUGUGAAGAAGGCCUUCGGGUUGUAAAGCACUUUCAGUGGGGAAGAAAGCCUUGGGGCUAAUACCCUCGAGGAAGGACAUCACCCACAGAAGAAGCACCGGCUAACUCCGUGCCAGCAGCCGCGGUAAUACGGAGGGUGCGAGCGUUAAUCGGAAUUCCUGGGCGUAAAGCGCGCGUAGGCGGUCUGAUAAGCCGGUUGUGAAAGCCCCGGGCUCAACCUGGGAACGGCAUCCGGAACUGUCAGGCUAGAGUGCAGGAGAGGAAGGUAGAAGUCCCGGUGUAGCGGUGAAAUGCGUAGAGAUCGGGAGGAAUACCAGUGGCGAAGGCGGCCUUCUGGACUGACACUGACGCUGAGAUGCGAAAGCGUGGGUAGCAAACAGGAUUAGAUACCCCGGUAGU
rnacentral:rRNA from 1 species